rnacentral:rRNA from 1 species
AGAGUUUGAUCCUGGCUCAGAAUCAACGCUGGCGGCGUGCCUCAGACAUGCAAGUCGAACGCGAAAGGCCCCUUCGGGGGCCGAGUAGAGUGGCGCACGGGUGAGUAACACGUGGAUAAUUUGCCUUCGGGUGGGGAAUAACAACCGGAAACGGUUGCUAAUACCGCAUAAUGCAGCGGCAUCUAUGAUGACAGUUGUUAAAGCGGGGGAUUCUUCGGAACCUCGCGCCUGAAGAGAAGUCCGCGGCAGAUUAGCUAGUUGGUAGGGUAAUGGCCUACCAAGGCGACGAUCUGUAGCCGGCCUGAGAGGGCGGUCGGCCACACUGACACUGACAUACGGGUCAGACUCCUACGGGAGGCAGCAGUCGGGAAUUUUGGGCAAUGGGCGAAAGCCUGACCCAGCAACGCCGCGUGAAGGAUGAAGUUUUUCGGAAUGUAAACUUCACAAGAAUGGGAAGAAUAAGUCUUGGCUAACAUCCAAGACGAUGACGGUACCAUUUGUAAGCUCCGGCUAACUCCGUGCCAGCAGCCGCGGUAAUACGGGGGGAGCAAGCGUUGUUCGGAUUUACUGGGCGUAAAGGGCGCGUAGGCGGCGCCGCAAGUCACUUGUGAAAUCUCCGGGCUCAACUCGGAACGGCCAAGUGAUACUGCGGUGCUAGAGUGCGGAAGGGGCAACUGGAAUUCUUGGUGUAGCAGUGAAAUGCGCAGAUAUCAGGAGGAACACCGGUGGCGAAGGCGGUUCUCUGGGCAUUACCUGACGCUGAGGAGCGAAAGUGUGGGGAGCGAACAGGAUUAGAUACCCCGGUAGUCC